CGACUAAUGUUGAAAAAUUAGCGGAUGACCUGUGGCUGGGGGUGAAAGGCCAAUCAAACCGGGAGAUAGCUGGUUCUCCCCGAAAGCUAUUUAGGUAGCGCCUCGUGAACUCAUCUCCGGGGGUAGAGCACUGUUUCGGCUAGGGGGCCAUCCCGGCUUACCAACCCGAUGCAAACUGCGAAUACCGGAGAAUGUUAUCACGGGAGACACACGGCGGGUGCUAACGUCCGUCGUGAAGAGGGAAACAACCCAGACCGCCAGCUAAGGUCCCAAAGUCAUGGUUAAGUGGGAAACGAUGUGGGAAGGCCCAGACAGCCAGGAUGUUGGCUUAGAAGCAGCCAUCAUUUAAAGAAAGCGUAAUAGCUCACUGGUCGAGUCGGCCUGCGCGGAAGAUGUAACGGGGCUAAACCAUGCACCGAAGCUGCGGCAGCGACACUCAGGUGUUGUUGGGUAGGGGAGCGUUCUGUAAGCCUGCGAAGGUGGCCUGUGAGGGUUGCUGGAGGUAUCAGAAGUGCGAAUGCUGACAUAAGUAACGAUAAAGCGGGUGAAAAGCCCGCUCGCCGGAAGACCAAGGGUUCCUGUCCAACGUUAAUCGGGGCAGGGUGAGUCGACCCCUAAGGCGAGGCCGAAAGGCGUAGUCGAUGGGAAACGGGUUAAUAUUCCCGUACUUGGUGUUACUGCGAAGGGGGGACGGAGAAGGCUAUGUUGGCCGGGCGACGGUUGUCCCGGUUUAAGCGUGUAGGUGUGUGUUCCAGGUAAAUCCGGUUCACUUUAACACUGAGGCGUGAUGACGAGGCACUACGGUGCUGAAGCAACAAAUGCCCUGCUUCCAGGAAAAGCCUCUAAGCAUCAGGUAACAUCAAAUCGUACCCCAAACCGACACAGGUGGUCAGGUAGAGAAUACCAAGGCGCUUGAGAGAACUCGGGUGAAGGAACUAGGCAAAAUGGUGCCGUAACUUCGGGAGAAGGCACGCUGACACGUAGGUGAAGUGAUUUACUCAUGGAGCUGAAGUCAGUCGAAGAUACCAGCUGGCUGCAACUGUUUAUUAAAAACACAGCACUGUGCAAACACGAAAGUGGACGUAUACGGUGUGACGCCUGCCCGGUGCCGGAAGGUUAAUUGAUGGGGUCAGCGCAAGCGAAGCUCCUGAUCGAAGCCCCGGUAAACGGCGGCCGUAACUAUAACGGUCCUAAGGUAGCGAAAUUCCUUGUCGGGUAAGUUCCGACCUGCACGAAUGGCGUAAUGAUGGCCAGGCUGUCUCCACCCGAGACUCAGUGAAAUUGAACUCGCUGUGAAGAUGCAGUGUACCCGCGGCAAGACGGAAAGACCCCGUGAACCUUUACUAUAGCUUGACACUGAACAUUGAGCCUUGAUGUGUAGGAUAGGUGGGAGGCUUUGAAGUGUGGACGCCAGUCUGCAUGGAGCCGGCCUUGAAAUACCACCCUUUAAUGUUUGAUGUUCUAACGUGGACCCGUGAUCCGGGUUGCGGACAGUGUCUGGUGGGUAGUUUGACUGGGGCGGUCUCCUCCUAAAGAGUAACGGAGGAGCACGAAGGUUGGCUAAUCCUGGUCGGACAUCAGGAGGUUAGUGCAAUGGCAUAAGCCAGCUUGACUGCGAGCGUGACGGCGCGAGCAGGUGCGAAAGCAGGUCAUAGUGAUCCGGUGGUUCUGAAUGGAAGGGCCAUCGCUCAACGGAUAAAAGGUACUCCGGGGAUAACAGGCUGAUACCGCCCAAGAGUUCAUAUCGACGGCGGUGUUUGGCACCUCGAUGUCGGCUCAUCACAUCCUGGGGCUGAAGUAGGUCCCAAGGGUAUGGCUGUUCGCCAUUUAAAGUGGUACGCGAGCUGGGUUUAGAACGUCGUGAGACAGUUCGGUCCCUAUCUGCCGUGGGCGCUGGAGAACUGAGGGGGGCUGCUCCUAGUACGAGAGGACCGGAGUGGACGCAUCACUGGUGUUCGGGUUGUCAUGCCAAUGGCACUGCCCGGUAGCUAAAUGCGGAAGAGAUAAGUGCUGAAAGCAUCUAAGCACGAAACUUGCCCCGAGAUGAGUUCUCCCUGAGACUUUAGGUCUCCUGAAGGAACGUUGAAGACGACGACGUUGAUAGGCCGGGUGUGUAAGCGCAGCGAUGCGUUGAGCUAACCGGUACUAAUGAACCGUGAGGCUUAACCUU
rnacentral:rRNA from 1 species